UUUACGUUUUUGAUUCUGAAGUUUUUCUUAUUUUUAAAUGAUUUAAUGGUAAAUAAUUACCGAAUAAGAGAAUGAAAUCUUACAAAUAUUCCCGUUUAUCAUGUUAAAUAGAGAAAUUUGCAUUUGUGUAUUGUAGAAACUUACUAAGACAGUAUCGCUUCCAAUGUAAACAAUAUGUCGGUCAUAACACGAGUUCCGGAGAAAAACUUGUGGGAGGAGAUAUGUAAAGAAUUUGCAUCAAGAUCAGCUCCAGUAAGGUCUGAUGAUGAAAUGUCAGUCAAGACAGAGUACCAGGAUUUUGAUCCUGCCAAACACAAUCCUGUUUUUUAUGGAAAGAUGCAUGAGCGUGUUGAAGCUGAUGAAGAUGUCAUGAAGGAAUUGGAUGCUGCUACCAGUCAUCCAUCCUGUGCUGGAUACACAUUUACAGAUAAACCCCCAGAGACACCCCCCUCUCCUCCCCCGACACCUCCCCAUAAAGAUGCCUGUACACCAAGAGAGUAUUUAGAACAUUAUGUUUUCCCAUGGUUGUUGCCAGCUUUAGAAGAUAUGCUAAGGCAAGCAAAGAAAGAAAAAUGCUUAGAGAGAAAAAGAACAGCAUUUAAUGCUUUAGAUUACAUCACAGAACAUUUGUAUAAAAAUAAUCCAAAGUACGAUGACAGAAAGGAAAUCACAUUUGAGAAGAUUCCAUUUGUAGCAAAACACUGGGAAACUCAUCCCCGCCCCCCACUACCCCUGUCUCUCAUCUGGACGGAGGAGGAAGCGGCCCUGGUCAUCCAAUCACAGUGGAGGGGAUAUCUUGUUAAAAAGAUGGCGAGGUCCAGGAGCUCCGCCAGUGGCAGAGGGAAUGGCGCGAGGAGAACGGGAACAUCAGCACCAAGGUCAACGAGUUCUGGGACAAGAAGAUGCCCGAUUGGGACCGCCCCACCCCCAACGCCUCGGAGGACCAGCUCAAAGUGGACAACAAAGAAAUCCGCGUGGAGUCGCCCACCAAACAGAGUUAAAGUGGAAAUAUCCACAUCAGUAGCGGAUGUUUGGUCAAUUUCUUGUCCAAUUCACCAGGGGAAAAGUAUUGUCAAUUCACAAGAAAAAAAAAACAACAACAAACUUGCACUUGUAUAUUUAUUUGAAGAAAAAACGAACAUCAGAUUAUUAUUUUAAUGUUAUGAAGAUUGAAGUUAAAAACAAUUAUAAGCAUGAAAGUUAUGUCGGCAAUUUAAAUCUACAGUGACUGUGAUAUAUUAAGAUACAUGUUCAUGUAUACAUACAUGUUGUUUGAUAUUGUUUUUAUAUAUAUAUAUACAUGUAAUAAAAAGUACAUAAAAAAUCUAUGGU
rnacentral:misc_RNA from 1 species